rnacentral:lncRNA from 1 species
CAGGCACUCACCCCAGGCGGUCAGACCCGGGACGCGGGCGCCCUAGAGCUCGGGAGGCGACCUGUCGCGCCCCCUCCUCCGGAUCCAGGCGGGGAGGGCAGGAGCGGGGCCGGCCCAACUAGGGUGGAAGGGAGGCUCCCCGCCUCCCACCUCUGCGGACCACGGUCAACGCCACGGUCGCUGGUCCUGGCCGCGAGCCUACUGCACCCCUGAGCAGAGAGCUUCCCCUCAAGCCCCUCAGCUCCGACUUCCCAGCCUGACAACUGUUCAGGGGAGCUCUUGCGAUGCUGCACAGGGGGCGACCAGAUUCUCAGGGCCCAAAACAGCUGCCAGGCAAGCCUCUCUCUGUUGGCUCUUCUCCGAGCUCCUGGACACUGGCAGGAUCCUUAUGAUCAUCAUCUCAGACAGAAGAACAAGUGAGUUUUUGUUUUUAUUGCCUAUUAUUGUUCAUGUCGCUUAGGGCUGAGAUUGAGUUUUUAAAUCACAGUAGAUGCCUUUGAAGAAGCUUAGGACCAAAAGACAGACUUUCCCCCAAGGCCUAUAACCAGCUAGUGGCAGAGUUUGUAUUCAUUCCUGUCUCUACCACACCACCCUUUAUUUCUGUCUCUCUAUAGUGUCUACAUACUAGUUGCUCAACAAAUUGUUAACUGGUUUAAUCUGAUGCAGUUAAGUGAA